GCUAAUGUUUUUAUAAAUGUAUGGUUUAAUGUAACUGUGCAACAACGUUGCAAUUAAAUGUGCUAAAUAAAUGAUAACAGUUACUCCGCCCACUCCAGUUAUAGACUACUGGUGGAGGCAAGAACACUUCACACAAUUUCCCCAGAAAUUGUAGCUUUUCUAGUUUGUAUUGUUGUUUUCCUAGAGCAGUGCUCCUCAACCCUCUCCUCAAGACACACCUAACAGUCAAGGAUUUAGUGAUUACCAG